rnacentral:rRNA from 1 species
AUUUUCUGCCACCGAAUACAUUAGCAUGGGAUAAUGGAAUAGGACCCUGUCCUCCUAUUUUCAGUUGUUUUGGCAGCGCGAGGACUAGGGUAAUGAUUAAUAGGGAUAGUUGGGGGCAUUAAUAUUUAAUUGUCAGAGGUGAAAUUCUUGGAUUUAUGAAAGAUUAACUUCUGCGAAAGCAUCUGCCAAGGAUGUUUUCAUUAAUCAAGAACGAAAGUUAGGGGAUCGAAGACGAUCAGAUACCGUCGUAGUCUUAACCAUAAACGAUGCCGACCAGCGAUUAGGAGACGUUGAAUACAAAACACCACCAUCGGCGCGGCCGUCCUUGGCCGUGCGUCUCGUUUCGGCGAGGCGUUUGGCGGGGGCGGCUUAGCCCGGUGGCACCGGUGAAUGACUCCCCUAGC